UUUUUUCUUUUUUUCAGAAAUAUAGACAUGAGUAAUAAAAGCAAUAAUGAACACAAACAAAAGGGCUAUAGCCGGACACUUAAUUCUGGUUCAGCGAAGUCUCUGACCACCACCGGGGAUCGUGUCGGCUGAGUCCGGUCUCAGACAGUUGUGUGCAAAGCCCAGGACGAAAGCAGAAAUCCAGGCUGGAAAGUGUCCGUGUCAUCUCUUUUCAAAACCACAUUUCUGCGGCUCAGCGUGCGCUCGCCCCGCCGAAUACCCGCCCCCAACCCCGCCCAGACUCUUCUCUCCGUCAAUACUGACACUCACUCAGCCCCAGGGCCAGCACCGAGCUGGCGGAGACAGCGGUGGGGUCGCCUCCACAUCUAUGCGCUCCGAGGUGGGAGGAACCUCACAGCAGCCGAAGCCAAUGGGAGGGAAAAGGCAGAGCUUAGCUUUGUGGGUUGGGAAGGUUUACGGCAACAGCCCGAGUAGUGUGCACACCUGGGAAUGAGUUUCCCCAGGAGUUUUGAUAAAGAUCUGGGAGUAGAGGCCGCCCCUGGGAUGCGUUAGAGGAAACCCCGAAAGCGCCACCUGUCAGGAGCGGCGGUCGUCCUAAGAACCAUAGGGGAGGGGUAAGCGGCCGCAGAGGGAUGUGAUGGGCAAGGGGCCCUUCGUUUCCAGUGUGGACCCUUUCGAGGAGCAGGGUCAGAGUCUCAGAAGCACCUCCUGCACAAGCCUGAAUGCCUCCGCCCUAAGGAACUCUCCAUCUUGGGACGCAAAGGGACGCUCGUGCACAAAAGUGGCUGCCAAGCUGGUGGCAAGACCCUAGGCGGAGGAACGCCACACUCCCAGCCCCUGAGCGGGUCCCUGGGUGGGACGCCCUUGCCACCUGUCGCACCAGCCCAGGACCCAGUUCUUUCAGAUCCUGCCAUUUCCUUCUCCCGGCCCUAUUCAUUGUUCCCUAACUGGCCCGGUUCCCCCGAAUCUCUGAGAAUUGGAGGUAUCGCCUGUGCUGAGCGUUGUUCCUAAAACCGGAACCACGCAGUCUCAAAGGGGGACGAUCUGACCCCCAUUCUAGAGCAGGAAAACUGUAGCUGCCUGUGGGGUCCCACAGAGCUGGCAGCUGACGCAGUCCUUGAGCCGUGGGUACCUCCUUCCCAGCUAUUUCCUCCACGCCCUGGCUGCUCACUGGGCAGUCAGUGGCCCAGAGGCUUCGCCUGGAAGCUGGUUAGAGAAGCUGGUUAGAGAAUCUUUUCUAAGCCUCACCACCCACUCUCCGAAUCAGAAUCUGAAUUUUGACACAAUUCUGAGUCACAUUGCAGUUUGAAAAGUGCAUCUCUGAGGCAGCGGUUCGGAAACUUUAGGGAGCCUUAGAAGGCCCUGGAACUCCUGUUAAAACACAGCCCUCUGGGCCUCACCCUCAGAGAUUCUUUUGUAUUUAUUAUUUUUUUAACUGAACUGCCGUUGACUUACAAUAUGAUGUUCGUUUCACAUCUGUACAGAUGUGGAUAUUCUUCUUCAGAUACUUUUCCAUUCUGGAUUAUAAGAUGUUGAGUACAGUUCCCUGUGCUUUACAGCAAAUCCUUUUUCUUUACCUAUUUGGUAUACAGUGGUGUCUCUCUGUUAAUCCCAUACUCCUCGUUUAUCCCUCCGGAGUUUCUGAUUCAGAAAGUGGGAUGGGGAGUUCCUGCUGUGGAGCAGUGGGUUAAGCAUCCAACUUCAGUGGCUCGCGUCCCUGCAGAGGUGUGGGACCCAUCCCUGGCCUGGCGCAGGAGGCUAAAGGACCCAGCAUUGCCGCAGCUUCGGCGUCGGUGGCAGCUGCGGCCCUGAUUCAGUCCCUGGCCCAGGAAUUUCCAUGUGCCGUGGGUAUGGCCAUUGCAAGAAAAAUAGAAAGAAAGUGGGAUGGGGUCUGAGAUUCGGCCUUUUCAACAGACCCGGGCGUUGCUGAUGCUGCUGAUCUGGGCGCACAGCUGGAGAAGAUGGACUUUUUCCACCGCACGUUGUGAGCAGUCAGCUCCACCAGGCAAGGAGGCUGGCCUGGCAAACAGGCAGCCUGAGGUCUCUCCGAGGCAGGAAAGGAGUCCUGUCCCCUGGGAGGCCAGGAGCAGCAAGCGCAAGAAGGAAAAACUCAAGGACAUCUUUCUAUCCCUUUAUACGGAGCCGGCUUCCGCAGCCUGGUUCUGCGGUCCUAACACAGGGGGUGCGGGCGCCCCUCCCCGCAGAACCUCCGCAUGCCUGGUGUGGUUGUCGCCAGCAAAAAUGUCUCCAAUUUAAGUCCACCUCUGACUUUUCACUUACUGCUUCCUUUGAUCCCCUCUGUGAGUGGGGGAAGUCAGCGGGUCAGAUCUGAGCGACCCGAUUUACAAAUGAGAAAAACCACCACUGGGAGGGGAAAAGAACAGGACCCUCGCCUAACGGCUGACAAAACUAGAGUGAAAAACCAUUCCUCAACUCUUACCCCGUUAAUUUCCCCACAAUAAUUCACUGCCCUUUGGGUCCCACUGGAGAGAGUACGGCUAAGAUAUUUCUGAUCAUCCUCCAGGUGGGGCAGGUGCAUGGCUCGUCCAGAUGAUCGAGAAAGCAGCAUUCCACUCAUUUACACAUCACAAAAAAAAAAAAGAAAGAAAGACACGCAGACAGGUCUACACACACAAAACAAUUAAGUGACUUCCCCAAAGCCGCAGUGUUAAAAACAUCUGAGCUCAGCAUCAAUGCUCAAAAAGAUCAAAGGCUUUCCAGGGAGACACCAUCCCCAACCAGAGAAAAUCUGGUACUGAUUUAACUCCACGUUUGGCCAUUCACAAAAUCGUAGGCGGUGCCAAAACUUUAAAAGAGCUGUGCUCCCACAAGUGCGGUUUUUAAGUCCGUUUCUUCAAGUGCAAAAUGCCUCCAGAACAUUCAGUACAGAUUAAUGGAACAUUAACGAAUUUCUCUGAAACUUGUAAUGAUGUCAGUGGCAGAGAUGUUUUCCAGGCUAGUACAUAAAAUCCAAUUUCACCCACAAGACACCUGAAACACCAUUUAUCUCUGCGACAGUGUCUUCUAAGGGAGAUUGCGUUGGAACAUCUAGUUCAAAGCAUGUGGCAGGAGCCUUCCCCAAUUGUCUCACGCUGGGUUUUAAUUGCUUGGUUGUUUGUCUGUCGUCCCCUCUACAGGGCGAGGAAGUAGGAACCCUGUCUCCCUUAUGUCAUCAUUGUACCCCCAGUGCAAUGCCUGACACACAAAGAUGUUCAGUGUUUGAAUAAGUGAUCACUGUUCCUUGGGCCUGAAAUGCGCUUUGAUGGGCUAAAUCGCAUGUCCACUCGUGAAGCCACACCUCCUCGCCCGUUCAUCAAAGUCAGAUACUCAUCAACGUCUUUCUCUCCCCUUCCUCUCCUUCCUCAUCACAGCCAAGAACACACGAUUUUAAAUGCCUCCUCAUUUCCUGCAAGUACCGUUUUUCAGGAUGGCACCCACAUGCUCAGAACUUCAGAUUGGCUUUUUCACUCCCUCAUGCUUAACAUUGAGUAGAUACAAGGUCAACUUUUAAGACCAAGAUUAAAACAAACAGCUAAAAUCUACACGUGGGAAACAAGCUGCAGGAAGAGACUGCUUCGAGGAUGUGGUCUAAGGAGUUCACGUCGUGGCGCAGUGGAAACGAAUCUGACUAGCAUCCAUGAGGAUGCUGGUUCGAUCCCUGGCCUCGCUCAGUGGGUUAAGGAUCCAGCCCUGGGAACCUCCAUGUGCCAAGGGUGAAACCCUAAAAAAAGAAAAAGAAAAAGAAAAAGAAAAGAAAUGGGGUCUGAGAUCCUCAGAGAAGAGGGGUGAAGAGGUAGUCUAGGAACCGUGAACAGGGAGACACGAUCUUAUAUUGAACUAAAGGAACAUCCAAAGAAAAGCAUGAGAGCGGAAAUUAUAAACUCAGCAGAGAGGCUGGAUGAUAAAGGUGUAGCUAUCUAUCAGAAUAGAGGCCAAGAAAGGAAAAACAAGAAAAAAAAGAUAAGAAAAUUAGCGGAGUGCUGCCUGGGGUCCAACGUCUAAACAACUGAGGUUCAGAGAAAGAGAGAGAACCGAGCAAAGGAAUUCGCCAUCAUUAACAAGUUCAAUACACCCUGGCAGAGAGGACCUGAAAGCGUCAGUUUCCAGAUGCGAAGGGUACAUUCGAAGACAUUCAACUUGGACCCGGCAAACCACGAUGAAAAUUCAGAACAUGAAUGACAAACGCCAUGAGCUCCCAGAGAGGAAAAGGGAGACCCCAUCCGAAGAGUGAGAUUUGAGAAUGGCUGUGAACUUCUCAAUGGCAACCCUGAAAAGCAGGGGAGAGCGGAGCAGUGCCCUCCAAAUCUGGAAGGAAUAUGAGUUCCAACUUAGAAUUCCAUAUAUAACAUCUUGUCAUCAAGAACAGGUGUAAUAGAGAAAUGUUUAGAUUUGAAAUCGUUCAAAAACUUUUAUCUCCCGUGGAAUUUCUUUGUCAGAGGAUUUUCUCCAGCAAAAAAAGGAGCUAGGUUUAUCUAGAUACAGAUAUAAAUAUGGAUGUAGACAUAAAGAUAUAGAUAAAGGGAGUUCCCGUUGUGGCUCAGCAGUAACAAAGGAUCCAGGGAGAUGUGGGUUCGAUCCCUGGCCUUGCUCCGUGGGUUAAGGAUCCGGCGUUGCCAUGAGCUGUGGUGUGGGUCACCGUCGAGGCUUGGAUCUGGCGUGGCUGUGGCUGUGGUGUAGGCUGGCAGCUGCAGCUCCGAUUGGACCUCUAGCCUGGGAACUUCCAUAUGCUGAGCAUGAAGCCCUAAAAAAAAGAAAAGGGUAAAGCUCUAUAUAGACGUAUAAAAUCUAGCCUACAGAAAGUAGGAGACAUCGCCAGAGGGGAGAGGUGGGGAGAGGGAUGGACGGGGUUUGGGACUGGCACAGGCACACUUUUGUACCUGGACUCGACGUUCAGUGGGGCCUGCUGUACAGCACCGGGAACUCUACCCAAUAGUCUGUGACAACCCAUAUGGGAAAAGAAUGGAUGGUGUGUAUGUACAAUUGAAUCACUUUGUUGUACAAUGAAAGUCACCACAACAUUGGAAAUCACUUACACUUCAAUAAAACUUUUAAAAAUGGAAAAAAAAAAACAUUUUAAAAGAAAGAGGAGUACCUAUUGUGGCUCAGCAGGUUAAGAACCCGGCAUAGGCAGUUCCCAUGAUGGCUCAGCAGUGAGGCUCAGGUCUGGCGUUGCUUGUGGCUGUGGUAUAGGCCGGGCUGGCAGCUGCAGCUCUGAUUCGACCCCUAGCCCGGGAACUUCCAUACGCCGUGGGUGCCGCCCUAAAAAAGAAAAGAAAAGAAAGAAUGUUCAUAAUUGAAGGAGACAGACAAAAUACCUGCAGGUGUGCUGCAGACACAAGACACACGCACGCACACACGCUGACACCGUCACCUACAGUUUGAUCUGUAGAAAUAAGUUCUCAUUAGGAGUUCAUUGGAAGGAGGACCUGUGGCUGAUUCGUCCUCAGCCUCAAAGUCUGAGACAGUGUUUGGAGUGAGGUUGGUGCCAUCGA
rnacentral:lncRNA from 1 species